CAGAACUGUAAUCAUAAAUAAGAGUGCGUAAACAGAGAUUUGAUUUGAAAUAGUAGAACAGAACAUCGACAUAAAGCAAGAGCGAAAAAACGCAAAGAAUUAUCAACAGGGAACACAAUUCAGGCUUUGAAAAAAUAUCAAUUUCGGAGAACAUUUUUUGCGUGUGUUUGGUUGUGACGCAAGAUUCCGCAAAGUAAACCAAAGGUGCGACAGAUAAUUCCUUUAAAACUCGAUUUAAAUUUCGUUGAGUUGAUAUUGGAUCAGAGACGUUAAAAUCACCAUUGACAAUGAUCUUUCGUAUCUGGUGUAUAAAAAUUACAUUUCUGGUAAUGAGUACCGCUGCCGUCCCAGUGUACGAAUAUCAAAGACCUGCUUUUUACGAUAUACCGGAGAAAUUCCUUCCGCAAAAAAGAUCGAAUAGUAGAUUCUUCCGAAUUGGGAAGUCCCAAGUGAGUCAUUUGCCGAGCACGGACGAUAUUUUUGUCAAUAAGCUAGGGAAUAUAUUUCAUAAACAAGAUUAUAUCCCCGAUUUAAUUGACGAAGAACAAAGGGACGGCUUUAAUUCGGGCGAAUUUAUGACAGACUAUAUAGAAGACUCUUCAUCUCCAGACGACAGAUUUGAUGGCCUUUCUGGACCGGCCAAACGAGGAGGGAUGUUUCGAUUUGGUAAAAUGCCAUAUUUCAUGAGAAAUGGAAGAACCUUUCUUCAAACAUAUUACGACAAACCCGGAUCAGCUCCAACAACUCAAUCUCAGUUUUGGAGAAUUGGUUAAGAUUAAAUGUCGAAUUGGUAUAUUUACUCAAAAAAUAAACAUAUUGUACAUUAUAUUUUCUAAGUUUUCACAUGAAUAAAUUAUAAUCCUUUGAA